rnacentral:ncRNA from 1 species
UCUUAUCAAGACGGACGGAGGGAAUAGGCCCUGUGAAGUCCAGCAACCUUAAAGCGUUUGCUUUUAACGGUGCCAAAUCCUACAGAUGAUAUUCUGGAAGAUAAGA